CCGCUGGAGCAGUUCAGUCUAAUCCUCCCUAGUGCUGGAGGAUUGCGUUUGUUUUCGCUCUGGAUGCGCGUUCAUUUUGGCAAGGAAAUGUGCUGAUUUUGCAAGGAGAUGGAGAAUAAAGAGUUCAAGGCUGCAGUGGUGACCUUCACUACCGUGACCCACAAGGAUGAAACUUCCCAGACCAGCCUCACCCUCAGCAGGGGAAAGAGAAGCUACCCAGACCUACACACCUUUGUGCAGGACAUGAAGGACGACCAUUGGAAUCUGCUGAGUGAGAAUAUGCGUGCCGGGGUGAGUUAUAGUCACCUCUAAAGUAG